GGGGCUGACCGGAAUUGACAGCUUGAGCAUGUCGCGAGUAAGCGUGCCGGGAGUUGGGUAAAUCUCCUGCCAAAAAGUUAUCCGAACAACAACCGGCGAGUAUAGCUACGCCAUGGCUGCUUAGUCUAGGUACUAAGUAAUGUCAUCGUCCCGCAUCCGUCCUCCUUUUCACGGGUGAGCACGGGGCGUCGUAAGUAAAGGGAUAGUUGCGUGGGAGGUGUGACCACGCAGCGAAUCUAACUGCAUCUAAGGGUAAACCAAGGGCCUGAUGUGCGCCUGGGAUACCACGAAAAUCUAAGCAUAGAUACGCACGUAGAAAGCUCGACGGCUUCCUUGUCUGGACCAGGGUUCGACUCCCUGCAGCUCCACUU
rnacentral:tmRNA from 1 species